CAGUGGAUCAGCUGUGGGAAAGGCU
rnacentral:piRNA from 1 species